rnacentral:rRNA from 1 species
AUUGAACGCUGUCGGCAUGCCUAACACAUGCAAGUCGAACGAGUGGCGGACGGGUGAGUAAUUUCUGGGAAACUGCCCGUUGGAGGGGGAUAACUACUGGAAACGGUAGCUAAUACCGCAUACCAUCGGAUGUGCCCAGAUGGGAUUAGCUAGUAGGUGGGGUAACGGCUCACCUAGGCGAAGAUCCCUAGCUGGUCUGAGAGGAUGACCAGGCACAAUGGGACUGAGACACGGUCAAGACUCCUACGGGAGGCAGCAGUGAGGAAUAUUGCACAAUGGGGGCAAGCCUGAUGCAGCCAUGCCGAGUGUAUGAAGAAGGCCUUCGGGUUGUAAAGUACUUGCAGCGAGGAGGCGUUACUCGCAGAAGAAGCACCGGCGAACUCCGUGCCAGCAGCCGCGGUAAUAC